rnacentral:rRNA from 1 species
UCAGACCUAACACAUGCAAGUCGAGCGAGGACUUCGGUCCUAGCGGCGGACGGGUGAGUAACGCGUGGGAACGUGCCCUUUGCUUCGGAAUAGCCCCGGGAAACUGGGAGUAAUACCGGAUGAGCCCUACGGGGGAAAGAUUUAUCGGCGAAGGAUCGGCCCGCGUUGGAUUAGGUAGUUGGUGGGGUAAUGGCCUACCAAGCCGACGAUCCAUAGCUGGUUUGAGAGGAUGAUCAGCCACACUGGGACUGAGACACGGCCCAGACUCCUACGGGAGGCAGCAGUGGGGAAUCUUAGAAAGGGGGGGAAACCCUGAUCUAGCCAUGCCGCGUGAGUGUAGGGGGCCUUAGGGUUGUAAAGCUCUUCAGCUGGGAAGAUA